AAUAAAGUAAAAGAUUUAAGUAUGCUAAAAAAGCUAGUGGGUUCAUACCCCAAAAAUGAUUAAUUCCUUUAUUA
rnacentral:tRNA from 1 species